rnacentral:rRNA from 1 species
AAAUUGAAGAGUUUGAUCAUGGCUCAGAUUGAACGCUGGCGGCAGGCCUAACACAUGCAAGUCGAACGGUAACAGGAAGCAGCUUGCUGCUUUGCUGACGAGUGGCGGACGGGUGAGUAAUGUCUGGGAAACUGCCUGAUGGAGGGGGAUAACUACUGGAAACGGUGGCUAAUACCGCAUAACGUCGCAAGACCAAAGAGGGGGACCUUCGGGCCUCUUGCCAUCAGAUGUGCCCAGAUGGGAUUAGCUUGUUGGUGAGGUAACGGCUCACCAAGGCGACGAUCCCUAGCUGGUCUGAGAGGAUGACCAGCCACACUGGAACUGAGACACGGUCCAGACUCCUACGGGAGGCAGCAGUGGGGAAUAUUGCACAAUGGGCGCAAGCCUGAUGCAGCCAUGCCGCGUGUAUGAAGAAGGCCUUCGGGUUGUAAAGUACUUUCAGCGGGGAGGAAGGUGUUGUGGUUAAUAACCACAGCAAUUGACGUUACCCGCAGAAGAAGCACCGGCUAACUCCGUGCCAGCAGCCGCGGUAAUACGGAGGGUGCAAGCGUUAAUCGGAAUUACUGGGCGUAAAGCGCACGCAGGCGGUCUGUCAAGUCGGAUGUGAAAUCCCCGGGCUCAACCUGGGAACUGCAUUCGAAACUGGCAGGCUUGAGUCUUGUAGAGGGGGGUAGAAUUCCAGGUGUAGCGGUGAAAUGCGUAGAGAUCUGGAGGAAUACCGGUGGCGAAGGCGGCCCCCUGGACAAAGACUGACGCUCAGGUGCGAAAGCGUGGGGAGCAAACAGGAUUAGAUACCCUGGUAGUCCACGCCGUAAACGAUGUCUACUUGGAGGUUGUGCCCUUGAGGCGUGGCUUCCGGAGCUAACGCGUUAAGUAGACCGCCUGGGGAGUACGGCCGCAAGGUUAAAACUCAAAUGAAUUGACGGGGGCCCGCACAAGCGGUGGAGCAUGUGGUUUAAUUCGAUGCAACGCGAAGAACCUUACCUGGUCUUGACAUCCACAGAACUUUCCAGAGAUGGAUUGGUGCCUUCGGGAACUGUGAGACAGGUGCUGCAUGGCUGUCGUCAGCUCGUGUUGUGAAAUGUUGGGUUAAGUCCCGCAACGAGCGCAACCCUUAUCCUUUGUUGCCAGCGGUCCGGCCGGGAACUCAAAGGAGACUGCCAGUGAUAAACUGGAGGAAGGUGGGGAUGACGUCAAGUCAUCAUGGCCCUUACGACCAGGGCUACACACGUGCUACAAUGGCGCAUACAAAGAGAAGCGACCUCGCGAGAGCAAGCGGACCUCAUAAAGUGCGUCGUAGUCCGGAUUGGAGUCUGCAACUCGACUCCAUGAAGUCGGAAUCGCUAGUAAUCGUGGAUCAGAAUGCCACGGUGAAUACGUUCCCGGGCCUUGUACACACCGCCCGUCACACCAUGGGAGUGGGUUGCAAAAGAAGUAGGUAGCUUAACCUUCGGGAGGGCGCUUACCACUUUGUGAUUCAUGACUGGGGUGAAGUCGUAACAAGGUAACCGUAGGGGAACCUGCGGUUGGAUCACCUCCUUACCUGAAAGAAGC